rnacentral:rRNA from 1 species
AAUAUUGGGCAAUGGGCGAAAGCCUGACCCAGCGACGCCGCGUGAGGGAAGAAGGUCUACGGAUUGUAAACCUCUUUUAUAGGGGAAGAAAAGCAGCUUCGGCUGCCGUGACGUUACCCUAAGAAAAAGCCACGGCUAACUACUUGCCUGCAGCCGCGGUAAUUCGUCGGUUGCGAGCGUUACCCGGAAUUACUGGGUGUAAAGGGUGAGUAGGCGGGUGUGCAAGUCAGGAGUGAAAACUAUGGGCUCAAUUCAUAGCUUGCUGUUGAAAAUGCAUAUCUUGAGAGUCGGAGAGGUAAACGGAAUUCCCGUGGUAGCGGUGAAAUGCGUAGAUAUCGGGAGGAACACCAGUGGCGAAGGCGGUUUACUGGACGACAACUGACGCUGAGACACGAAAGCGUGGGGAGCAAACA